rnacentral:rRNA from 1 species
ACGGGUGAGUAACGCGUGAGAAUCUGCUUGGGGUCGGGGACACCACUGGAAACGGUGGCUAAUACCGGAUAAAGCUUUGGUGUAAAGAUUUAUUGCCCCAAGAGGAGCUCGCGUCUGAUUAGCUAGUUGGUGAGGUAAAAGCUCACCAAGGCAGCGAUCAGUAGCUGGUCUGAGAGGACGAUCAGCCACACUGGGACUGAGACACGGCCCAGACUCCUACGGGAGGCAGCAGUGGGGAAUUUUCCGCAAUGGGCGAAAGCCUGACGGAGCAAGACCGCGUGAGGGAGGAAGGCUCUUGGGUUGUAAACCUCUUUUCUCAGGGAAGAAGCUCUGACGGUACCUGAGGAAUCAGCCUCGGCUAACUCCGUGCCAGCAGCCGCGGUAAUACGGAGAAGGCAAGCGUUAUCCGGAAUUAUUGGGCGUAAAGCGUCCGCAGGUGGCGAUUCAAGUCUGCUGUCAAAGCACGGGGCUUAACUCCGUUAAGGCAGUGGAAACUGAAUAGCUAGAGUGCCGUAGGGGUAGAGGGAAUUCCCGGUGUAGCGGUGAAAUGCGUAGAGAUCGGGAAGAACAUCGGUGGCGAAAGCGCUCUACUGGACGGCAACUGACACUCAGGGACGAAAGCUAGGGGAGCGAAUGGGAUUAGAUACCCCAGUAGUCCUAGCUGUAAACGAUGGAUACUAGGUGUAGCUGUAAUCGACGACGAGCUGUGCAGAAGAUCAACGCGAUAAGUAUCCCGCGUGGGGAGUACAGCACAACAAGGUGUGAAACUCGAAGUAAUUGACGGCGGCCACAAACAAGCGGUGGAGUAGGUGUAAUUAUAUCCGAUACGACGCGAAGUUCCUCUAGCAGGGACAGACACCGUCAGGACUGCCCGAAUGAAUAGCUGGGACGUUCGUUCGCGAGAACAAACACAGGUGAUGCAUGUCUGUAGUCAGCUCGUGUAGAGAGAUGUUGAAUUAAGUCCAGCGAGCGAGAGCAACCUUCGUCAGUUACCAGCAAUCAUUAAGUCACUCAAUAUAGAGAGACUGCCGCUGACCAGACGGAGGAAGGUGGGGAUGACAUCAAGUCAGCACGCCCCUUACGCUGUGGGCAACACACGUACUACAAUGGUCGGGACAGAGGGCAGCGAACCUGCGAAGGCAAGCUUAUCACACGCANACUCGGCGUCAUCUCUAGAUCAUCAGCAGGCUACUCGUCCUCCGUGAAGAGAGGAGUCAUCUACUAUAAUUCAGCCCACCUAUAAGUACGGCGAAUCCGUUCCCCGGGCCUUGUACACACCGCCCGUCACACCAUGGAAGCUGGCACGCCCGAAGUCG